GACAACAGUCCGAAAGGACUGCUAAUACCGCAUGUCAGGUCGGAAACUCCGGUUUCUGACGAAAAAGAGGGCGUCCGCAAGGAGCUCUCACCACGAGAUGAGUCCGCGUCCCAUCAGCUAGUUGGCGGUGUAAUGGACCACCAAGGCUUAGACGGGUAGCUGGUCUGAGAGGAUGACCAGCCACACUGGGACUGAGACACGGCCCAGACUCCUACGGGAGGCAGCAGUGGGGAAUAUUGGACAAUGGGCGAAAGCCUGAUCCAGCCAUGCCGCGUGAGUGAUGAAGGCCUGGUCGUAAGCUCUGUGGGAGGGACGAAAAGACGUGACCUAAUACGUCUCGCCUUGACGGUACCGUCCUUAGCAAGCACCGGCUAACUCCGUGCCAGCAGCCGCGGUAAUACGGAGGGUGCAAACGUUGUUCGGAA
rnacentral:rRNA from 1 species